UGAGUAACCUGCCCUUAACUCUGGGAUAAGCCUGGGAAACUGGGUCUAAUACUGGAUAUGACUCCUCAUCGCAUGGUGGGGGGUGGAAAGCUUUUUGUGGUUUUGGAUGGACUCGCGGCCUAUCAGCUUGUUGGUGAGGUAAUGGCUAACCAAGGCGACGACGGGUAGCCGGCCUGAGAGGGUGACCGGCCGCACUGGGACUGAGACACGGCCCAGACUCCUACGGGAGGCAG
rnacentral:rRNA from 1 species